rnacentral:rRNA from 1 species
GUCUCUCUUGAGUGGAUCCUGAGUACGACGGAGCACGUGAAAUUCCGUCGGAAUCUGGGAGGACCAUCUCCUAAGGCUAAAUACUCUCUAGUGACCGAUAGUGAACCAGUACCGUGAGGGAAAGGUGAAAAGCACCCCGGAAGGGGAGUGAAAUAGAACCUGAAACCGUGUGCUUACAAGUAGUCAGAGCCCGUUAAUGGGUGAUGGCGUGCCUUUUGUAGAAUGAACCGGCGAGUUACGAUUUGAUGCAAGGUUAAGCAGUAAAUGUGGAGCCGUAGCGAAAGCGAGUCUGAAUAGGGCGUUUAGUAUUUGGUCGUAGACCCGAAACCAGGUGAUCUACCCUUGGUCAGGUUGAAGUUCAGGUAACACUGAAUGGAGGACCGAACCGACUUACGUUGAAAAGUGAGCGGAUGAACUGAGGGUAGCGGAGAAAUUCCAAUCGAACCUGGAGAUAGCUGGUUCUCUCCGAAAUAGCUUUAGGGCUAGCCUCAAGUGAUGAUUAUUGGAGGUAGAGCACUGUUUGGACGAGGGGCCCCUCUCGGGUUACCGAAUUCAGACAAACUCCGAAUGCCAAUUAAUUUAACUUGGGAGUCAGAACAUGGGUGAUAAGGUCCGUGUUCGAAAGGGAAACAGCCCAGACCACCAGCUAAGGUCCCAAAAUAUAUGUUAAGUGGAAAAGGAUGUGGCGUUGCCCAGACAACUAGGAUGUUGGCUUAGAAGCAGCCAUCAUUUAAAGAGUGCGUAAUAGCUCACUAGUCGAGUGACACUGCGCCGAAAAUGUACCGGGGCUAAACAUAUUACCGAAGCUGUGGAUUGUCCUUUGGACAAUGGUAGGAGAGCGUUCUAAGGGCGUUGAAGCAUGAUCGUAAGGACAUGUGGAGCGCUUAGAAGUGAGAAUGCCGGUGUGAGUAGCGAAAGACGGGUGAGAAUCCCGUCCACCGAUUGACUAAGGUUUCCAGAGGAAGGCUCGUCCGCUCUGGGUUAGUCGGGUCCUAAGCUGAGGCCGACAGGCGUAGGCGAUGGAUAACAGGUUGAUAUUCCUGUACCACCUAUAAUCGUUUUAAUCGAUGGGGGGACGCAGUAGGAUAGGCGAAGCGUGCGAUUGGAUUGCACGUCUAAGUAGUAAGGCUGAGUAUUAGGCAAAUCCGGUACUCGUUAAGGCUGAGCUGUGAUGGGGAGAAGACAUUGUGUCUUCGAGUCGUUGAUUUCACACUGCCGAGAAAAGCCUCUAGAUAGAAAAUAGGUGCCCGUACCGCAAACCGACACAGGUAGUCAAGAUGAGAAUUCUAAGGUGAGCGAGCGAACUCUCGUUAAGGAACUCGGCAAAAUGACCCCGUAACUUCGGGAGAAGGGGUGCUCUUUAGGGUUAACGCCCAGAAGAGCCGCAGUGAAUAGGCCCAAGCGACUGUUUAUCAAAAACACAGGUCUCUGCUAAACCGUAAGGUGAUGUAUAGGGGCUGACGCCUGCCCGGUGCUGGAAGGUUAAGAGGAGUGGUUAGCUUCUGCGAAGCUACGAAUCGAAGCCCCAGUAAACGGCGGCCGUAACUAUAACGGUCCUAAGGUAGCGAAAUUCCUUGUCGGGUAAGUUCCGACCCGCACGAAAGGCGUAACGAUUUGGGCACUGUCUCAACGAGAGACUCGGUGAAAUCAUAGUACCUGUGAAGAUGCAGGUUACCCGCGACAGGACGGAAAGACCCCGUGGAGCUUUACUGUAGCCUGAUAUUGAAAUUCGGCACAGCUUGUACAGGAUAGGUAGGAGCCUUUGAAACGUGAGCGCUAGCUUACGUGGAGGCGCUGGUGGGAUACUACCCUAGCUGUGUUGGCUUUCUAACCCGCACCACUUAUCGUGGUGGGAGACAGUGUCAGGCGGGCAGUUUGACUGGGGCGGUCGCCUCCUAAAAGGUAACGGAGGCGCUCAAAGGUUCCCUCAGAAUGGUUGGAAAUCAUUCAUAGAGUGUAAAGGCAUAAGGGAGCUUGACUGCGAGACCUACAAGUCGAGCAGGGUCGAAAGACGGACUUAGUGAUCCGGUGGUUCCGCAUGGAAGGGCCAUCGCUCAACGGAUAAAAGCUACCCCGGGGAUAACAGGCUUAUCUCCCCCAAGAGUUCACAUCGACGGGGAGGUUUGG